GUGACUGGGGUGAAGUCGUAACAAGGUAGCCGUACUGGAAAGUGUGGCUGGAUCACCUCCUU
rnacentral:rRNA from 1 species